GAGAAGCAGGUUUCCCGCUGAGCAGUGAGCCCGACAUGGGGCUCGAUCCCAGGACCCCGAGAUCACGACCUGAGCCGAAGGCAGAUGCUUAACCAACUGAGCCCCCCAGGUGCCCCUGGGAUUCAUGCUUUUAUAGAAGAGCUCCCACAGAGCUCCCUCACCCCUUCCACCAUGUAAGGACACCGCGAGAAGGCGCAGCUGUAAACCAGGAAGAUGGCCCUCACGAGAGAAGGUAACCAUGCCGGCACUUCGAUCUUGGACUUCUAACCUCCAGAACUGUGAGAAAGACAUUCUAGUUGUUGGUGAAAGCGAUGCCAGUUUCCCUACGAGAGGCUGUCAUCUGUGACUGAAGCUCAACUUGGCAAUAAUUCCGCAUUCCCAGCCUCACCGGUCAUGAUGCUAUGGGCUGUGAACCUGUUAGUACUGUGGGGCCACGUGGCUUGGAACAGGACCACAGUACUGGCACUCCCCCUUGUCCAUCCCUCCAGUGCCUGCAGACCAGACAACUUUUUCAGAGGCCUACCUUGGGUUUGAAGGCAAUGAGCUUCAGAAUCAUCUCCACGGUGAAGAGGCCAGUGAAGAGCAUGUUGAGUCCCAGAGAGGAGCUCAUCCUUGAGAAGGGACACUUGUCCUUCUCCAUCUUGGAAAAGAGGACAGUUCUUCUGCUCUUUCUGUCUCUCUUGGCCAACAUGACGGAGUCAGCCAUGCAGCUCUUCUACACUUCAUCUCCUCCCCUAGCAUCCUCCUUCCUGCAGGCGUCAUGGGUCCUCCCCUCGGACUGACCUGCAUGGCCAAGCAGAUGGUGUUGAGCAGGAUGAGGACGAACAUCAGGCCCUUCCAGAAGACUGACAGCCCUAUUCCCUCAUUGAGGAGCAGACAGAUGAUCUUAGUAUCCGCAUGGAUCUCUCUCCUGACUCCAGUCUCUCUUCCGGGUGGGCCACAAGCUGCCAUCUGCUGUCAUUCCUCAUGUAGCCUUGCUCCCCGCUACUGCCCUGCUACCUGCUCCUCUCCUUCCUAG